AACGAACGCUGGCGGCAGGCUUAACACAUGCAAGUCGAGCGCCCCGCAAGGGGAGCGGCAGACGGGUGAGUAACACGUGGGAACGUACCUUUUGCUACGGAAUAGCUCCGGGAAACUGGAAUUAAUACCGUAUGUGCCCUUCGGGGGAAAGAUUUAUCGGCAAAAGAUCGGCCCGCGUCUGAUUAGCUAGUUGGUGGGGUAAUGGCCUACCAAGGCGACGAUCAGUAGCUGGUCUGAGAGGAUGAUCAGCCACACUGGGACUGAGACACGGCCCAGACUCCUACGGGAGGCAGCAGUGGGGAAUAUUGGACAAUGGGCGCAAGCCUGAUCCAGCCAUGCCGCGUGAGUGAUGAAGGCCUUAGGGUUGUAAAGCUCUUUCGUCAGGGAAGAUAAUGACGGUACCUGAAGAAGAAGCCCCGGCUAACUUCGUGCCAGCAGCCGCCGUAA
rnacentral:rRNA from 1 species